UACGUAGGGUGCGAGCGUUGUCCGGAAUUAUUGGGCGUAAAGAGCUUGUAGGCGGCUUGUCGCGUCUGCUGUGAAAAUCCGGGGCUCAACCCCGGACUUGCAGUGGGUACGGGCAGACUAGAGUGCGGUAGGGGAGAUUGGAAUUCCUGGUGUAGCGGUGGAAUGCGCAGAUAUCAGGAGGAACACCGAUGGCGAAGGCAGAUCUCUGGGCCGUAACUGACGCUGAGGAGCGAAAGCAUGGGGAGCGAACAGG
rnacentral:rRNA from 1 species